UACUUUUUUUUUUUUUUUUUUUUUUUUUUUUUUUUUUUUUUUCCUU
rnacentral:ribozyme from 13 species